ACUCAAAUGAAUUGACGGGGGCCCGCACAAGCGGUGGAGCAUGUUGUUUAAUACGUCACUAACCGUAGAACCUUACCAGGGCUUGACAUCCGCUGCCCGCCGGUGAAAGCCGGUUUUCGUAGCAAUACGACAGCGAGACAGGUGUUGCAUGGCUGUCGUCAGCUCGUGUCGUGAGAUGUUGGGUUAAGUCCCGCAACGAGCGCAACCCUCACCCCAUGUUGCCAGCGAGUCAGGUCGGGCACUCUUGGGGAACUGCCUGUGCAAGCAGGAGGAAGGUGAGGAUGACGUCAAGUCAGCAUGGCCCUUACGCCCUGGGCUACAAACAUGCUACAAUGGACGGCAGACAAAGGGAACCGAGGCCGUGAGGCGGAGGCAAUCUCAGAAAUCCGUCCCCAGUUCAGAUCGCAGGCUGCAACUCGCCUGCGUGAAGUCGGAAUCGCUAGUAACCGCCGAUCAGCGAAGCGGCGGUGAAUACGUUCCCGGGCCUUGUACACACCGCCCGU
rnacentral:rRNA from 1 species